CCUUCCUCCUUUAUGCUCCUUCACCCCUAUAAUGAAGGCUGUGAUGCAAAACCUAGACUCCUCUCCAAAAAUGAUGGAUUUAUUCUCCAGCUGCUGAGAGUGCUUCUGGAAGAUGGCCUUCAACUGUCAACCUCCUAUCAGGAGUUGUCUGAACAGAAGAAAGCCAGCUCAUCCAAGGUCAUGUACCCUUUCUGAGGCUUCCUGUUUCCAUUGACUGCUCAGUGCAGGGAUAGAAGGGUUCAGUCCUCCUACUCCAAUAAAGGACAACUCUGAAAUGUGUUCACAGCCCCAGAGCUCCUCAUGGGGUUGACUGAGGCCUUUGUUGGUACUGAAUUAUUGCUCAGCUUCUCCCUUUGCCCAAUCCUAUUUUAAUUUUCUCUCUUGCACUCCAAGAGCACUCCUUAGUAAACAUCCUUUACAGGAAUCUCUGUUUUAGAGUUUGCUUCCUGGGGAACAUAACUACAUCACUCCUGUAUUAAAUCAAUCAUGAAGUGCUGCUGAUUUUAGCUACUGAGUGUUCUUUGAUUCUGCCUGCUUAUACAUCCAUAGACAUUACCUUGCACCACUCUCCUAGUUUCCUAAGUGGGCCACUGCAUUUUUCUGGUGCCUCUUUGCAUCCACCUUCUACCUUAUAGCUAUAGUGCUGUGUUCAGAAUGCCAAUUAAUUAUGCCGCUCUCUGGCCUUUCCUUUUGGGACAGAUAAAACCCUUUAACAGGAUCUGUGAAACCCUCAUGGCCUGACUCCUGCUUACUUCUCUAUCUUACUUCUUUCAGGGCACUGUAUUUUUUUUUUCUUUCCUCUGUAGACACACUGGUGUUCAUUUAGCACCCCCACACACUUUUAUUGCUAUCCAUCCCCCAGUUAUAUGCCUUUUGCAAUGCUCUCUGGAAACUUCUUUCUUCCUUCUUUUCUCAUCCAUGGGAUCUCAGUUUUCAAGCAGCAAUUCCUCAGGAAAAUGUUUUCCAUGGCUUCCUCUCCUGGGACAAAUAGAAUCACGGGAUGACCUGCAAAAUGAUUACCCUUGUAGAAUCUUCUCUUGAACGUGUGUGGACCUUUGAAUAUAAUGAGGUACUACUUCCAUGAUUAUGCUAUGUGCCAAAGGGAUUUUUCAGAUGUAAUUCAUUUUACUAAUCAGUUGACCUCAAGUUAGGAAAAUUGUCCAACUAGUCCUAACCACAUCACACUAAGUCCUCUUGAAGGACUUUCUCUCUGGCUGCUCACAGCAGCAGAAAUCAGAGAGAUUUGUAGAAUAAGGAUUCAUCACACUAUCAAUGGCUUGAAGAUAGAAAAGCUCACUUGGAGGAAUGCAGGAGGAAGUUGCUAACUGGAGGAUGGGAAGCAUGUGGGGUAAGUGCCUGAGAGUGGCUUCUCAUUGACAGUAGCCCCAAGCCGACAGCCAGCAAAGGAACAGACACUUCAGUCCUCCUCCAAAUCUCUAGAAGAAAAUUUAGUCUAGAUAAUACCUUGUGAUAUGCUGAACAGAGAACCCAGCUACACUGUAGACUUCUGGCCAACAAGUAUGUGAACUAAUGAGUAGGUAUUGUUUAAACCAUGAAAUUCAUGGUAACUUGCUACAGCAGCAAUAGAAAAAGGAUAUACCUUCCAUCUCAGGAAGCAGCAAGUGUAGACCCUUAUAAACCAAGCAAGAAAGAAAUGAAACAUUGGGAAUUUGUUGAGAUUUAGAAAGAAAGAUUUGGAAAGAUUGCAGUGGCAGUUAGUGUGGAGGGCAAUAGGAUUCUAUGAUAGUAAUUCUGGUGAGAAAUGAUGGUGGCUAGAACUAAAGUCAUAGAGGCUAUAAAGAAAUCUGAAGAUGACUUUUUAAAUUUAUUUUUGGUACUGGGGAUUCCUGAAUCCAGGGGCACUUUGCCACUUUUCCCAGUUCAUAUUGAGACAGGGUCUCAGUACAUUGCUGAGGUACUUGUAAUCCUCCUGCUUCAGUCUCUCAAGAUUGCAGGCACGUGCUACUACAUUCAGACUUGAAGAAGACCAUUUAACAAAGCUUGGAUAAAGACCAGCCUGCUGGAUAGGGAAAGACUAUCCAGACCAGGCUGGAUAGAGAGAGACUAUGACAGAGAAGGUAGGAAGAAAACAAAAGAAUGAAGCAUUGGGCUGGGGAUGUGGCUCAAGCGGUAGCGUG
rnacentral:lncRNA from 1 species